rnacentral:lncRNA from 1 species
AUGACCCCAGGCAAGCUGGCAAUGUGCUUUGAGUCACUGAAAACAGAGAAUUCUUCAGAAUAUAGACAGAGAUAUUUCUGUGUGCACGGGAGGAGCCAGUACGUGGAACUGUCCAAGGUUAGAAACCCAAGGAUCAGAAACACUUCGGGGACUCAGUGGAAGGAAUCUUUCCAAAGACCCAUCCAUCUCACUCUCAAGCCUUGAAGGUCAUCACUCAAUUUGGUGUUACUUGUAGUUGCUCGUUUUCCAGACCACUGUUCUAAGACUAUCACAGAAAUUUUGCCAUUCAAACAACUGCCCAGGAAGAACGGUCUCUGGGUCUUAGUUGCAGUGAUCCCUUGAAAUAUUCUGCUGAACCAUAUUUGCCUGCAUUAUUAUGUUUUAUUUGAUUUGUGUGGCUGUGUCUUUAAAGACUGCUGGCUCCCAACUGGGUUAGAAGUUCAGUGACUGUUUCAGGCGUGUUCCUUAUCUAAGAUGGUGCAGAAAAACCAGAACAAACUUCCUGGCCAACCCAGGAAGACAUAUGUGGAAUGUGGAAGCACUAUGAUUGGUUUGUAUUUCAUAUCAGAGACUUCCAUAAAGGUUUUUUUCUUUUUUUUUAAUUUCUCAAUGUUAAAAAUAAUAUUAACAACAAAAAUUCUGAAUUUAAUAUGUUGUUAAAAAGUGAUAACGUGGCACUAUGGUAGUGCUGUUUAUGAUUGCUUAAACAUAUUUGUCGAUACUAUGUGUUCCCAAUUAUUUAUAUUUGAUUCAUUCUUUAUGUUUCUUCACUAUUUUUCUUACAGUGUGUUAAAGCGAGCUGACUGUUGGGAUUAAUCACUAUUCUUUGUCAUUUCCUGAAGGAUGAGCUCAGUUUAACAUUUCAGAGUCUGCCUAAUCAAAAAAUAUUUAAAGGGAAAUGCGAUUAAACAUUUCUGGGGUUGGAGAGGGAGCAUGGUAGGAAUGUGCAGAUGGAAUUCCUACUCUCAUCACUGCAGUGAUUCGAUUUGGUUGACUUCUGAUUGAUUACAAGUUAGGCUUUUGUCUCCAAACAUGCAUAUGGGAAAUUUUCAAAGUGCUCACAUAAAUUUGGUGAACGCAUGUUUGGGGGUUCCCCACCCUUUUCGUUCAGAUGAGGUAUAAUUAAUUCCAGGUGUUUGAAAGCCCUCAAUAAAAAAAGUUUUCGAGGACGAGGAACA